CAGUGUAACCCAAGCAAAGUGUGCUUUAGUUUGAUAACCCGAAACUAAGUGAGCUACUUCAAGACAGCCUAUUAAUAGGGCAAACCCGUCUCUGUUGCAAAAGAGUGGGAAGAGCUUUGAGUAGAGGUGACAGACCUACCGAACUUAGUUAUAGCUGGUUGCCUAGGAAUUGGAUAGAAGUUCAGCCUCCCGGGUUCUUUAUUCACCUCAGUCUUACCCCUUCUGAUAUCUUUAAGAAACCAAGAGAGUUAGUCAAAGGGGGUACAGCCCCUUUGAAUCAAGAUACAACUUUUCCAGGAGGGUAAAGAUCAUAAUUACAAAAGGUAAAAUAUUUAGGUGG
rnacentral:rRNA from 1 species